GACGAACGCUGGCGGCGUGCCUAACACAUGCAAGUCGAACGGAAAGGCCCUGUUUUUGUGGGGUGCUCGAGUGGCGAAAGGGUGAGUAACACGUGAGUAACCUGCCCUUGACUUUGGGAUAACUUCAGGAAACUGGGGCUAAUACCGGAUAGGAGCUCCUGCUGCAUGGUGGGGGUUGGAAAGUUUCGGCGGUUGGGGAUGGAUUCGUGGCUUAUCAGCUUGUUGGUGGGGUAGUGGCUUACCAAGGCUUUGACGGGUAGCCGGCCUGAGAGGGUGGCCGGACACGUUGGGACUGAGAUGCGGCACAGACUCCUCCGGGAGGCAACGGAGGAGUAGGUGGCAUAGUGGGCUGAGGCCUGAUGCGACGACGCCGCGUGGGGGGUGACAACCUUCAGGUUGGUAUCCACUUUCGCCUGUGAAGAGGAGUGAGUGACGGUAAUGGGUAAAGAAGCACCGGCUAACUACGUG
rnacentral:rRNA from 1 species